GCGGUUUUUCUCCCACGGUUGGUCUAGCGGAUUAGACUUAAAAUCCGCCUCCCCCUGGGAAUAUGGGUUCAAGUCCCAUCGUCCGCACCA
rnacentral:tRNA from 1 species